UACGUAGGGUGCGAGCGUUAUUCGGAUUUACUGGGCGUAAAGCGUGUGUAGGUUGUCUUUUUGCGUCUCCGAUUAAAGAUCCGAGCUCAACUCGGGGGAAUGUUGGAGAUACGGGAAGACUAGAGGUUUGCAGGGGAGACUGGAAUUCCUGGUGUAGCGGUGAAAUGCGCAGAUAUCAGGAGGAACACCGGUGGCGAAGGCGGGUCUCUGGGCCGAUACUGACGCUGAGGAGCGAAAGCGUGGGGAGCAAACAGG
rnacentral:rRNA from 1 species